CGCACCUUGCACCUCUUGGUAUUCCGAGAGGUACAUCUGUUUGAGUGUCAUGAAAUCCUCAACCUCUUGCAUUUUUAUCAAGUGUUUCGAGCGUUGGAUGCUGAGCGUUGCUGUGUUACAUCAGCUCGCUUCAAAUGCAUUCGCAAUCUUGAUAUGACUCGGAUUGACUCGACGUGAUAAGAUCUUCGUCGAGGAUGCUUUCAUUAGCAGCCGAAUUGUAUGCAGAUUGCUAAGAAACCUGCCUAGGCACCUUUAAAUUUAGACCUCAAAUCAGAUGGGACUACCCGCUGAACUUAA
rnacentral:misc_RNA from 1 species